UACGUAGGUGACAAGCGUUGUUCGGAAUUACUGGGCGUAAAGGGCGCGUAGGCGGCGUGUCAAGUCAGGCGUGAAAGCCCCGGGCUCAACCUGGGAACCGCGCUUGAGACUGGCAUGCUCGAGUUCGGGAGAGGAUGGUGGAAUUCCCAGUGUAGAGGUGAAAUUCGUAGAUAUUGGGAAGAACACCGAUGGCGAAGGCAGCCAUCUGGACCGACACUGACGCUGAGGCGCGAAAGCGUGGGGAGCAAACAGG
rnacentral:rRNA from 1 species